AGAGUUUGAUCCUGGCUCAGGACGAACGCUGGCGGCACGCUUAACACAUGCAAGUCGAACGAGAGAAGAGGAGCUUGCUUUUCUGAUCUAGUGGCGGACGGGUGAGUAACACGUGAGCAAUCUGCCUUUCAGAGGGGGAUACCGAUUGGAAACGAUCGUUAAUACCGCAUAACAUAAUUGAACCGCAUGAUUUGAUUAUCAAAGAUUUAUCGCUGAAAGAUGAGCUCGCGUCUGAUUAGCUAGUUGGUAAGGUAACGGCUUACCAAGGCGACGAUCAGUAGCCGGACUGAGAGGUUGAUCGGCCACAUUGGGACUGAGACACGGCCCAGACUCCUACGGGAGGCAGCAGUGGGGAAUAUUGCACAAUGGAGGAAACUCUGAUGCAGCGAUGCCGCGUGAGGGAAGGAGGUUUUAGGAUUGUAAACCUCUGUCUUCAGGGACGAAAAAAGACGGUACCUGAGGAGGAAGCUCCGGCUAACUACGUGCCAGCAGCCGCGGUAAUACGUAGGGAGCGAGCGUUGUCCGGAAUUACUGGGUGUAAAGGGAGCGUAGGCGGGAUCGCAAGUCAGAUGUGAAAACUAUGGGCUUAACCCAUAAACUGCAUUUGAAACUGUGGUUCUUGAGUGAAGUAGAGGUAAGCGGAAUUCCUAGUGUAGCGGUGAAAUGCGUAGAUAUUAGGAGGAACAUCAGUGGCGAAGGCGGCUUACUGGGCUUUAACUGACGCUGAGGCUCGAAAGCGUGGGGAGCAAACAGGAUUAGAUACCCUGGUAGUCCACGCCGUAAACGAUGAUUACUAGGUGUGGGGGGACUGACCCCUUCCGUGCCGCAGCAAACGCAAUAAGUAAUCCACCUGGGGAGUACGACCGCAAGGUUGAAACUCAAAGGAAUUGACGGGGGCCCGCACAAGCAGUGGAGUAUGUGGAUUAAUUCGAAGCAACGCGAAGAACCUUACCAGGUCUUGACAUCGUAUGCAUAGCUCAGAGAUGAGUGAAAUCUCUUCGGAGACAUAUAGACAGGUGGUGCAUGGUUGUCGUCAGCUCGUGUCGUGAGAUGUUGGGUUAAGUCCCGCAACGAGCGCAACCCUUACUGUUAGUUGCUACGCAAGAGCACUCUAGCAGGACUGCCGUUGACAAAACGGAGGAAGGUGGGGAUGACGUCAAAUCAUCAUGCCCCUUAUGACCUGGGCCUCACACGUACUACAAUGGCUGUCAACAGAGGGAAGCAAAGCCGCGAGGUGGAGCGAACCCCUAAAAGCAGUCUUAGUUCGGAUUGUAGGCUGCAACCCGCCUACAUGAAGUCGGAAUUGCUAGUAAUCGCAGAUCAGCAUGCUGCGGUGAAUACGUUCCCGGGCCUUGUACACACCGCCCGUCACGCCAUGGGAGUCGGUAACACCCGAAGCCUGUAGUCUAACCGCAAGGAGGACGCAGUCGAAGGUGGGAUUGAUGACUGGGGUGAAGUCGUAACAAGGUA
rnacentral:rRNA from 1 species